AGCCUUUAGCCCAACAAGUAUUAAAGGUCCCACCUGCCCAGUGACUAUUUUAAACGGCCGCGGUAUCCUAACCGUGCAAAGGUAGCAUAAUCACUUGUCCCCUAAAUAGGGACUAGUAUGAAUGGUCAAAUGAGGACUAAACUGUCUCUUGCAUUUAACCAAUAAAACUGAUCUCUCAGUUAAAAAGCUGAGAUAUAAACAUAAGACGAGAAGACCCUGUGGAGCUUCAAACCAAGCCCAACCCUAAUGGGUGUUCGGUUUUUAGUUGGGGCGACUUCGGAGUACAAAAAAACCUCCGACACAACCAUAUCAAGACCAACACGUCAACAUAUGUUUUUACUGACCCGGUAUUUAAUAAAAUAUCCGAUCAAUGAACCAAGUUACCCCAGGGAUAACAGCGCUAUCCCCUUCUAGAGUCCUUAUCGACAAGGGGGUUUACGACCUCGAUGUUGGAUCAGGACACCCAAAUAGUGCAGCCGCUAUUAAAGGUUCGUUUGUUCAACGAUUAAUAGUCCU
rnacentral:rRNA from 1 species